CAAUUAUUCAUUCAAAUAGCACUUAAAUUUGUAGAGGGGUAUUCUUUCUCUUGAACUUGCAGAGCUGCCAUCCACACCUCGCUGAAAAGCUGCUUUAAAAACAUACUGGCGAGAAAGUGGCCUUUCUAUCCUUGUUGGCCUCGGAUUAAAGAUCUGUUUCUUUUCACAGGAGGAAGAUGAACUCUCAUGCAAAUAAGGCAACAACGACAACACAGUGUUUGCCUCACUACUUCCUCAGAGAGAAGUACACAGGGAGGGAAGAAGAGAAGGCUACAGGAGGUUUGGAGGUUGAUUUAAUUUCUUAGCAGUAAUUCAAGGUGCAUUAGAAAAUAGCUUGUGAAUAGAUUUCCCCUGAACUUAAGGUUCUCAGGCCUUAGAGUGAAGCUCUGAAAUCAUCUAAUAAGAAAAAAAUAAUAAGAAUAAAUAAUUUAGCCAGAUUUAAGGCAGAAUUAAAUGAC
ensembl:lncRNA